AGCAGUCGCCACGGUAAUACGGAGGGUGCAAGCGUUAAUCGGAAUUACUGGGCGUAAAGCGCACGCAGGCGGUCUGACAAGUCAGAUGUGAAAUCCCCGGGCUUAACCUGGGAACUGCAUUUGAAACUGUCAGGCUGGAGUCUUGUAGAGGGGGGUGGAAUUCCAGGUGUAGCGGUGAAAUGCGUAGAGAUCUGGAGGAAUACCGGUGGCGAAGGCGGCCCCCUGGACAAAGACUGACGCUCAGGUGCGAAAGCGUGGGGAGCAAACAGGAUUAGAUACCCCGGUAGUCCCUGUCUCUUAUAC
rnacentral:rRNA from 1 species